rnacentral:tRNA from 2 species
AUUUGUUUAGUAUAUUAGUAUAUUUGACUUCCAAUCAAAAGGACUGGAAAAUUUCAGAACAAAUA